CGGCCAGGAAGCGGCCGCCCGGUUCGGUUAGUUAGUGCGCGCACACUUUUUAGGUUUUAGGUAGUUUAUUAACUAAUGAGGCCGAGUCAACGCCGCUGCCACCGGGGGCCCGCUCGUCAGAUCUAUCCGCAACCUCGGGCUUCGCCUUCUCUGUUGCCCGCGCCAGCGAAGCAGAGCCGCUCUCGCCAAUCACCAACAUCACGGCGCGAUGGUAGCCCUCCUCCGUUCCUCGUCGCAUCGACCUACCUAGCCUCCCACGCGUCCCACCCAGUGCCUCCACCCCGGCCGCCUCCCCUCCCCGGCGCUCGACCCCGAUCUACCGGAUCUACACGCACCCGAGUAUGAAAGGGCUUCCUCUCGCCCUCCCGCGUGAUCUGUCCGCCUGCACGCGGGCAUGGUGCUGCCUCGGACCCAUCUCCCGCGGUCGAGCGCCUGGCGAUUCAAUUAGCGUCACAGUGCGCCAUCAGCCUACAUAUAAUUUUCUUUUCUCACAUUUGAUUUUUCCAGGACCUCUCACCGGUGAUCGGCAUCGUCGCCGUCUUCGUCACGUCCGGCGCAAUCUGCCGCUACCGUAUGUUUCUCGUGCUCUGGUUUGGAUAUAAAACCUGAGAUAUCAAAGACCUGAAUUGAAGCAUUUGGGUUUUACAUAUUCUGCACUGUUGUUCUUCAGUUAGCUGUGGAGAAAGCUGCCCGUUUCUCCAGUUGUCAUCUUCUUUCUCAAAAUCCAGCGGCCUCCUUCAGUUCUCCCCGCGCCGUCGCGCUCGACCCCUCUGCCCCACCUACCCGAGCCGCCGCCUGCACGGACGCUCCCGGCCCAGCGCCCGCGGACGAGCACCUGCCGACUCGCCUCGUCCCCCCUCCUCCCCCCCCCCCUCACCGCGCCGUUGUGUCGCUCGUCGCCGGUUCGACUUCCCUCACCGGUCCCCGCAUCGGAGAUUGAGAUCGUCACCGCCUUGCGUGCUCAGCCUCGCCCAUUUAAUUUUCUUAAUUUUGUUGUUGGUAAACUUAUUGUGUUGUAGAUGAGCUCGUUUGAAUCCUCUUAGCAGGAUGAUUCCUCGUCCAAAGAGGAAUAUGACAUGAACAAAGAGGAUGACAUUGCUUUGAUCCUAUGAUGCACAAGAUCAAGAGGCCGAAGCAUGGUGGUUCCGCUUGAAUUUGAUGUUGUGGGUUGAUGAACUAUGUAACAGUACUAAUUAAGUUCUAUUUAUGUUAUAUUUGUUUUGGAUUCGUUUGA